UUUUAUAGGUAUUGAGGUGUCCUACAUUGCUAGUGGUAUGCUUCUUAAUCAGCACAAGUUUAUUUCAGAUUUGCUGCAUCAGUUUGAUUGUAUGGCUAUUUCCCCUGUAGUCUGUCCUUUGGACCUCAAUACUAAAUUGCAUGCUGACUCUAGUGAUCUUUUCCUUCUCUUGACCAUUACAGGAGCUUGAUUGGCAAGCUCCUUUUCUUGACUCAUACUCGACCUGGCAUCUGUUUUUCUGUGCAACGUUUAAGUCAGUUUUUGAAAGCUCCCAGAAUCCCUCACAUGUCUGCUGCUCUACAUGUUCUAAGGUAUCUUAAGGGUUCUAUGGAUUUGGGGCUCUUCUAUUCUGACAAUCCUGAUUUUACUGUGACAUCUUUUUCAGACAGUGACUGGGCUGCUUGCCCUGAUACUCGCAGAUCUAUCACUGGCUUUUGUGCUAUUGGGUGACAACUUAGUCAGCUGGAAGUCCAAACCUGAUUUUACUGUGACUGCAUUUUCAGACAGUGACUAGGCUGCUUGCCCUGAUACCCGCAGAUCUGUCACUGGCUUUUGUGUGCUAUUGGGUGACAGCUUAGUCAGUUGGAAGUCCAAGAAACAGCCAGUGGUCUCCCUGUCCUCUGCUAAGGCAGAAUACAGGUCCCUCAGUAAGGUGGUUGCUGAGUUGUCUUGGCUUUCUCGUUUACUCAUUGAUCUUGGUGUAUCUGUUGCUUUUCCUUUGUCUGUUUACUGUGACAAUCAGACAGCUCUCCAUAUUGCUAAGAAUCCAGUUUUUCAUGAGCGGACCAAGCACAUUGAAGUUGACUGUCAUUUUUUUCGUACCAAG
rnacentral:lncRNA from 1 species